AUUGAACGCUGGCGGCAGGCCUAACACAUGCAAGUCGAGCGGUAGAGAGAAGCUUGCUUCUCUUGAGAGCGGCGGACGGGUGAGUAAUGCCUAGGAAUCUGCCUGGUAGUGGGGGAUAACGUUCGGAAACGGACGCUAAUACCGCAUACGUCCUACGGGAGAAAGCAGGGGACCUUCGGGCCUUGCGCUAUCAGAUGAGCCUAGGUCGGAUUAGCUAGUUGUUGAGGUAAUGGCCCACCAAGGCGACGAUCCGUAACUGGUCUGAGAGGAUGAUCAGUCACACUGGAACUGAGACACGGUCCAGACUCCUACGGGAGGCAGCAGUGGGGAAUAUUGGACAAUGGGCGAAAGCCUGAUCCAGCCAUGCCGCGUGUGUGAAGAAGGUCUUCGGAUUGUAAAGCACUUUAAGUUGGGAGGAAGGGUUGUAGAUUAAUACUCUGCAAUUUUGACGUUACCGACAGAAUAAGCACCGGCUAACUCUGUGCCAGCAGCCGCGGUAA
rnacentral:rRNA from 1 species